rnacentral:rRNA from 1 species
UCCUGCGCCCCAGGUUGGGGCCAGGCGCAAGCUCCGGGCUCACGUUUUCGUUCGGCACGCUUCCUCCUCGCGGGGUCGUGGGCUGGACGGUGAGCACCGCGGAGCAUGCAUGCUAUGACCCGAAAGAUAGUGAACUAUGCCUGGCGAGGGUGAAGCCCCAGGAAACUGGGGUGGAGGCCCGUAGCCGUUGUGACGUGCAAAUCCAUGGCGUCAGUUGGGCAUAGGGGCGAAAGACCAAUCGAACUAUCUAGUAGCUGGUUCCACCCGAAGUUUCUCUCAGGAUAGCUGAUCUGCUGCAAGUUACUUGCUCUGGUGGGCGGCCUCGCACUUUCGCUCACACGCGAGUGGCGACUCUUAUGGCUGAUGACACAGUUUCGAAUGGUAAAGAGAAUGAUUAGAGCUACUGGGCUGCGGAUGGCAGCGUGUGUGUGUUCACCUCGUGUGGGCACGCGUGCGUUGUUCGUCUGCGCACGUUGGGGCGGGGAUGCAAAACACCUCGCACUAUUCUCAAACUUUAAAUGUUCGAGUGCCCCGGCAUGGUCGUGCUUACUGCCGGGUGCCACUCGUCAGUGUGGGUCUCGACUGCCCUCUCGUGCAAGCUCGACCACGUUCUCUAAGGGACUGUGUUGCUCUCGCGGGUGACUGGUACGCCUAGGUGUGUGCGUCGCUUGACCAGAAUUGGCGGAUUCAGUGGGUCUGUUCUGGUAAGCAGGACUGAUAAUGAGGGAUGAACCUCACGUCAUGCUAAGGGGCCUAA